AAACUCUGGAGAAUCUCAUUUAUGAGUGCCGAAGGUGCAAGGUCUCAGGACCGAAUCUCUCAGGCCAAAGGACAGAGAAGA
rnacentral:ncRNA from 1 species